rnacentral:rRNA from 1 species
UACGGGGGGUGCAAGCGUUGUCCGGAAUCAUUGGGCGUAAAGAGUUCGUAGGCGGCACGUAAAGUCUGGUGUUAAAGGCAGAGGCUCAACUUCUGUACGGCACUGGAUACUUGCGAGCUAGAAUGCGGUAGAGGUAAAGGGAAUUCCUGGUGUAGCGGUGAAAUGCUUAGAUAUCAGGAAGAACCCCGAUUGCGAAGGCAGCCUGCCGCAGCGUUACUGACGCUGAAGCUCGAAAGCGCGGGUAUCGAACAGG